rnacentral:rRNA from 1 species
GACGAACGCUGGCGGCGUGCUUAACACAUGCAAGUCGAACGGUGAAGCUCCAGCUUGCUGGAGUGGAUCAGUGGCGAACGGGUGAGUAACACGUGAGCAACCUGCCCCAGACUCUGGAAUAAGCGCUGGAAACGGCGUCUAAUACUGGAUACGAGAUCAAGCCGCAUGGUUAUGGUCUGGAAAGUUUUUCGGUUUGGGAUGGGCUCGCGGCCUAUCAGCUUGUUGGUGAGGUAAUGGCUCACCGAGGCGACGACGGGUAGCCGGCCUGAGAGGGCGACCGGCCACACUGGGACUGAGACACGGCCCAGACGCCUACGGGAGGCAGCAGUGGGGAAUAUUGCACAAUGGGCGAAAGCCUGAUGCAGCGACGCCGCGUGAGGGAUGACGGCCUUCGGGUUGUAAACCUCUUUCAGCAGGGAAGAAGCGAAAGUGACGGUACCUGCAGAAGAAGCACCGGCUAACUACGU